UGCAAAAUGAUAAGAAUAUUUGAGAUGAAUUAUAUGUUGAAUAUUCAUAAAUUAGCCUUCAAAGUUCUUUGAUUAAA
rfam:Capsicum annuum cultivar Zunla-1 chromosome 8, whole genome shotgun sequence